GGUUUAUUUCUAUUUUAGGGUCCUCUCUAUAAUUUAGAUUAUAUAACAUCUUUCUAUCGCAUUUACUCUAUGUUAUAUGUUAUGGUUUUGAUUGAACACAUCUGGAAAAUUAAAAAAAAGAAAAAGGAUCAAGAUAUAGGAAAAAACAUGUCCACCGCCUGUCCCACUAUUUUAAUCAUUUAAAAUAAGGCGUCUAAUUUUCUAAACUGACCCAAGGAAAAGGGGAAGAACGUGGUGUAGUGAAAGUGUAAUGCCAAAAUGAAAUUAGUCAAAUUUUAAAUGAAUAUUUUUAGACCUAUUAAUGAAAAGUCCACUGCAGAGGUAAUAUUCCAGUGUUUAGGGUGAACUUUAAUAGCCAGUAUUUUCUCUGAAAUAUGUCAAGGUAAUGGCUCCGUGCAAUGUUUAAUGAGUUGUCAGAUACUUUGAGCUGAAAAAGUGCUGUUAAAAAUGUCCUUGGUUUGUCAUCAAGUAAUGGGACAUGUUGGAAUCAGUUUGGGCUCAAGUAAUAAUAAAAAAAAAAAAAAAAAAAAUUAAUGUAAUUGGCACUGGAAGAAAAAACAGCACUAAUGAGAGGACGGGCUUGGCCAGGUUCAGGAGAGGACAUGGCAUGUAAUGCUUUAUAUACCCUCAACCACGGUAAUCCUGCUCAGAGGACAGUUAGAGAAGGAUUAGAAUCCCCUCAUACACUCGCUGGUCUCCUGUACCUUGGUCCCUCUGAAGUCCACUGGGCUGAAGGUGUCCCUGUUCUCCGGGUGUCCAUUGUGGUAAAGGUGUCCCUGGUCUCUGGGUCUCCAUUGUGGUAAAGGUGUCCCUGGUCUCUGGGUGUCCAUUGUGGUAAAGGUGUCCCUGGUCUCUGGGUGUCCAUUGUGGUAAAGGUGUCCCUGGUCUCUGGGUGUCCAUUGUGGUAAAAGUGCUCCUGUUCUCUGGGUGUCCAUUGUGGUAAAGGUGUCCCUGUUCUCUGGGUGUCCAUUGUGGUAAAGGUGUCCCUGGUCUCUGUGUGUCCAUUGUGGUAAAAGUGCCCCUGUUCUCGGGGUGUCCACUGUGCCGAAGGUGUCCCUGGUCUCUGGGUGUCCAUUGUGGUAAAAGUGCUCCUGUUCUCUGGGUGUCCAUUGUGGUAAAGGUGUCCCUGGUCUCGGGGUGUCCACUGUGCCGAAGGUGUCCCUGGUCUCUGGGCGUCCACUGCAAUGCGGAGACCCCUGGCCUCCAGAAGUCCACGUUGAUGGUGGUGGCGACUGCUUUCUCUCUGUGUCCUGCUCCAGAGGAGGAGCCGCCACGCAGGGGUAACACUGGACUACGCACAGUCAGCCUGGAGCGGCGUAACCUACCGCAUGGUGGACGCUGCCAGAGUCCAGGUCAAUACACUUUGAUUUCCACUCCUGGACCUGCGAACCAGACCAAGGCACGCCAAUCGCACAUUUGUUUAUGAGUGCGAAAACCCCCCGUCGUUCACCCCAGCCACCAAUUUGCAGCCGGAAAAAAGUGCAGGAGUGCAGCGCGUUCGAAAAAGAGCCGCCGAUGAUUUCACAGCUUCCCGUAUAAGUGUGCAAGGUGCACAGUGCAUUAAGAGACACAUUUUACUACAAGAUAAUGCAUUAUUUUUUAGCUUUGAAACCGACUGCUCCAAAUGAAUUAUUUAAUUGUCAUGUUGUACCGAUUUGUCUCGGCACCGCAUGUCGAAGAAGAUAUUCUUAUGAGGAUUAAUCCCUUCUUAUGCAGUUUCGGGCAGAAUGACUGUGAGGGGAACAGCAGAGAAAAGGCGGAAGAGACGAUCAAGGAGAAAAUCACUGACUAUUUAGUGUCUCGCUGCCAAAUGGUGUCACAGUGUUAAAUUUAACUACACUCAUAUGUUGUGCGACCAUAGAAGCUUAAUAUGUGCCAGAUAGUGUCUCCCUGCUAGUAGUUAUACCAGAUGGCCCAGUUUGGCAGUAAUGCGAUCUGGCAGAGAAUAAGGAUUCAAACCCACAAACACCAACACUUG
rnacentral:lncRNA from 1 species